AUAGUGGCUAUAGAGUGUGUGUAGGGUCUUAAUGUGAGUUUUCUUCAAAUUAAAAGCAUAAGAGCUGUACAAUGAUGAGACUUUGGCUCCCUCUACUGAU
ensembl:miRNA gga-mir-1454 gga-mir-1454